ensembl:lincRNA
AUGGGUCUCUACCGUCCACACGUCUGCAUAGUGGUCUUGCUGUGCCUGGCAGUAAUCUCUGCUGCCCUUCAGAAACUCCAUGCGUGUGUGACUGGGAACAGCACAGAACCGAGGAAUAUGUCUACUCACGGAAGACUGUGGUCUAAUCAGACAGCUGGUCCCGAGGCUGCGGCGACGGGGGCACCAGGGAGACAGAAACCCUGCUCCCGGGUUCAGCCUCCUGUUUCUUCAGCACGUGACCCUGUGCGCGCUCCUGAAACCACCCGACCCGCGUCUGUUUCGACACCCACGAGCGAAAUCGGCGGCCUUCACUGCAUAACUCGGGCUUGAUGAACCAGGAGAGGGGCUGCUACUUACCCCAGAUUUGGCAGUGUGUGUGUGUGUGUGUGUGUGUGUGUGUGUGUGUGUGUGUGUUGGGACAGAGCCGGGUGUCCACUUCCCUCUGCACACGUCUUGGAAUCGCUCCGAGCCUGCUACUUUUUGCAGUACCCCAGCGGCUGGAAGGUACUGUUUAAUUCAGCUUUUAUGACUUAGACUGAGCGGAAGACAAUACCUUAUACAAGGCCGUCUCCUCUGGCAGAACUGAAGUUGGGGGUCAUCUCUGCAAGAGGGAGAUUGGUUGGGCUCAGUGACUAAACCUCGGAAGUGGUGCCUGUGUCCAUCAACAGGUGAGUAGAUAAAGAAAAUGUGGUGAUGACACACCAUGGAGCACCACUCUGCCCAAAAGGAGCAUAAAUUUGAGUCCCUUGUAGGAAAAUGGACGCACCGUGAGACCAACAUGUUAAGUGAAAUAAAUUUACUUAUGAAUCGUGCUGCUAGAAACAUGGGCAUGCGCGUAUCACUUUGUAGACUCCUAAUUCUCAUAAUCAGUUGGGCAGCCGUUACUGCGCCGGUGAGGUGGAGAUGGUACUCUGGGAGUUAAUCAGCAGCAAGAUGGCAUUACUCUGUAAUGGCAGAGCCACCCUGCAAUUCCUGUCUUCCGAUUCGAGGAAGUAAUAUCUUUAGCAGAAAGAUCACACACAUGGAUCACAAGCACACCUAGAACCACACGGGACACUUCGCCUGCUACUUGUUUUGGUUCUACCAAUAACCCUUGCACAGUGGGUAUUACGGGCUGCCAUUUACAGGUGACUGAGGACAAGUCACUCGGCUGGGAAGGGGCUGGGUUCUACCGUAGGUCACCAUGGCCUUGCUCAGCCCCACCUUCUCCGAGUUGGACCCUGGGCUACGUUUUGGUGUUUGUGGGAUUUUUAUCUGAGUGGGCCAAUUGUAGGAGUUGGAAACAAGGCGAGCGAGACUCAGUGUUGGUUUCUUCUUUGGGUAAGCGGCUACCGGAGUUGCUCCCACUCUUCUCAGAACAGGCACAGAAGGACCAGUCUGGAGUCACCUUCGUGAUGAGCGCAGCCAACCCCUUGUCUGCAGAGGGGAAACUGAUGUUCUGAGGCAGGAAGCAACUUGGCGGAGAUUACGGAGCAGGCCAGAAGGGACGGGUUAGGCCGAGACUUUGUCACACGGCCUCCCUCACCGGCUCUUUCUCAUCCAGCCCUGCUGGCCUCCGUACCACUGUGCAAUCUCUGCUGGGGAACUCGAGGAUGCGUCCCUCCCAAUCUCUGUCUGCAUCUUAUUCCCCUAGGGACUCAACGCUGCGAUUCCAGGACCGCGGAUAUCCUCGUGUCUCAGUUUAAAAUUGUUUGCCCUGACCCUGCCUCUGAGAUAAACUCUGUCCAGUUGCCAUCUACGCCUCUCAAGAGGAAAAACAGACCUGAUGUGUCUACAACAUCAUUUUUAGCUCUGCUCCCUCCCCCAGCUCCUACCCAAACCUGUUCCUCCCACAGUUUUCCCUGAUUUAGUAACUAUACCAUCAUCAGUUAUUCAGGCAGAAAAUCUUGGAAUUAUCCUAUAUUUUCUUUUCCCUCAACCCACACACCUGAUCCAUUAGCAAAAACAUUGCAAUCUAACCCUUCUACCCUCCUCCUUCUUCAUCAGAUGCAGCACAGCCAAAAGCCUUCUCCUGCAUCCUUUUUGGUCUUUAAGAAUGCAUUCUCUUCCUAGCAAUGACUGUGUUCUCUUCUCAAAAUCGCACAGGACUGGUGGUAUUGCUCAGCCAUGGACCAUGUGAUUACCAUUCAUAAGGCCCAUUUUUAUGUCCAACACCCACAAACCAAUCGAGCAAAACAACAGGGUGUGUGGUACCUGCUUUGUGACUCUGGGCACAUUUCUUAAUCUCUGUGCCUCAGUUUUGUCAGCGAUACAACGGGGUCAAUAACAGUAUCCACCCUCAUAGGACUGCUGUGAAGAUUCAACAAAUGAAUGCAUAAAAUUUUAAAAUAAUGAUAUACAGGGCAUGGUGUUCAGUAAUCUUAGCACUAUUAUUUAUUUAUUUAUUUUGGGUACCGGGGAUUGAACUCGGGUCCUUGCGCUUGUAAGGCAGGCUGCCAAACCGCUGCGCUAAAUCCCCGGCCCAGCACUAUUAUUUUUAUUGUUAUUCCCACCACCAACGCCACCAUCAAUUUAACUUUUUGGGGGGGGUUGAGACAGGGUCUCACUAGGUAGCCCAGGCUGGUCUCGAACUCACAGUGAUCCUCCUGCCUCAGCCUCCCAAGUGCUGGGAUGACAGGCGUGCGCCACCUACCUGGUUCAGUUUAACUUUUUGAAGAGGCCAUUAUUGUUUCCUCCCUACCUCCAUUGCAUCUGUGAUACCACUUCCCAUGCUCCGUGCCCUUUGGCAGCUUCCUGUUCCCCUUAGGUAGCAGGUGAGCCCCAACUCCCUCCCCAGCCUCAUCCCGCAGGUCCGUCCUUGUUGCUCGUUCCUCCUCAGUCAGACUGACCUUAUCACAGGUUUCCAUGCAAUUUCUGCUCAUUCUCCACCGAGCGCUCUCCCUGGAAUAUGCUUUCCCUCCUUCACAGGCUCGGUGCUUGCUCUUUCUUCUCAUCUCAGCUUGGUCAUUAUUGUCUCAACCCCCCAUGACUUGGCGACUACGGGAACCCUCUUUAUUUAAUACUCUAGGGGAUGACCUGUGCCUCUAUUGUACGACUUACUGCAGUUCUGAAUUUACCCUAUUCCUUUCACUUGGAUUAAAUCUGUCUCUCUGAACAGAGCCUAGAACCCACGGGAACAGAGACCAAAUCAUUCUUUUCUAACCCAUGUGCAUCUAAUGCUGGCCUAGUGUUCUGCACAUCCUAGGUGUUCAAUAAAUAUUAAAUGAAUGAAUGAAUGAAAGUAAAUCCAAGCCCAGAACUGGUCCAAGAGAAAAUGUGUUGCUUCUGUGUAACUAACUACCCUUUCUCCUCUAUCAGGGGCCAGAACAGCCCUCCUGGUUUCCAGGAGUUUCUACUUGCUAGAAACGUGGCCUUGGGUGGUCACAGGGCAACUAUGGAGUUACAAGAGUAAAGAAUGGCCCAGCGUGGUGGCACAUCCUUGGAAUCCCAGCACUCGAGAGGCCGAGGCAGGAGAAUAGCCAAGAAUCUGAGCCGGCCUCUGCUACGAAGUGAGUUCAAGGCCAGCCUGAAUUAUACGGUGAGACGCUGUUCCAAAAAAAGCAAACGAAAAAAAAGUCAGGGAUUUGGUUCAGCAGUACGGCACCUGUCCUGCAAGUGUGAGGUCCUGUGUUUGAUCCCCAGUGCCAAAAAACAAAUGAACACCAAAAGACAAAAAACCCACAAAAAUGAGUAAGGAAAGACUCUGUGCCUCUAAACUGAUGUGGAAACUGGAUGUGAAGCCACAGCCCAAUGGAGAAGUAAGUCUGUCUUACUUCCUAAGCUUGGCUGCCUCGCUCCGCCAGACACUUUCAGGUUUUCCUUCCUUCUCAAAACAGGGAAACUACCCUGUCCUGAAGCUGAAGUGCUCUGUUCCGGUUUCCUGGACUGAUGCUGUUUUCUUUAAUGGGUUAGAGCAAAGGCUGUUGCAGACCUGGGCCAGUCCCCUACAGAGUUAACUCCAGGACACGGUAAAAUGAGAGCAACAGGGACGAUGUAGGGAGUUUGCAUAAAGC